rnacentral:rRNA from 1 species
AUUGAACGCUGGCGGCAGGCUUAACACAUGCAAGUCGAGCGAGCGGCGGACGGGUGAGUAAUAUCUGGGAAACUGCCUGAUGGAGGGGGCAAACUACUAGAAACGGUAGCUAAUACCGCAUACCAUAAUAGGUGCGCAGAUGGGAUGAGCUAGUAGGUGGGGUAAUGGCUCACCUAGGCGCCGAUCCCUAGCUGGCCUGAGAGGAUGACACGCCACACUGGAACUGAGACACGGUCCAGACUCCUACGGGAGGAAGCAGUGGGGAAUAUUGCACAAUGGGCGCAAGCCUGAUGCAGCCAUGCCGCGUGGGUGAAGAAGGCCUUCGGGUUGUAAAGCACUUUCAGCGAGGAGGCGUUACUCGCAGAAGAAGCACCGGCUAACUCCGUGCCAGCAGCCGCGGUAAUUC